UGUUAUUUGAGACACUAGUUUGUGUUCAUAAUUUGAUAUUGUAGUGUCACAUUUUUAUUCCAUUCUUCACUCAGUCAUCUUGUGAUACUUUAGAAAAUGUUUGUAUUUAAUUUUGUCUGAAAUUCUGGUAUAUGCUCAUCUGAAUGUUUUGUGUAUAGUUUACAGAUCUAUUAUAGCUGUAUUUUAGGGUUGGUUCCUUAAAUUAAAGAUUACAAUGUCUAGCCUACUUGUGCAGCAAAACUCUCUAUUUGUUUGAAAUCCCACCAAAAUUCUUAAUAAAGGUGACAGUCUGGUUGAAUAAGUUGAAAUCUUGAAACCCAUCGAUUUAGAGCUAGCAUGUACCUGGACCGGUAAUCCAAACAAAUUACCAAACAUUACUGGCUACUGGAGAAAAUAUGGAAGUGAAAUGGUUAACUCUCGGCUUACUAUACUUUUGGAAAAUGAACAAUAUAAUCUCAAAAGAGUGUUCAACAUUAAUGGAGAUACCCUUGGGAAUUACUCAUGCGUCUUUAGUGGUGCAGACAAGGAGGCAAAAAUAGAUUUCAAUUUGAGAUGGGCGUAUUAGAGGGACAAGCCUAUUACUGCCUAUGUGGGGGACUCUGUGGUGAUGGCCUGUAAAAUCAAGCUUCCCCGAACACCUGGCUUUGGUACAAAGAAAAUGGAACUGAGCAGGAACUCAUCAAUGCAACUACUGACCCCCUUCAUUACAAGAUCAAGGUUGAUGGGAACGCAACCAAACUCACUGUGAUGAACCUGACAGAGGGGCUCUGGUGUCUAUGUCUGCAGUGCCGUCUAUGACAUCAAGGCCAGUGUGAGCCGGGUGGAUGUUCGGGUCAUCACCUUCAUGGAGCCUCUGAAACUGUUCAUCGCCAUCGUGGCUGAGGUGAUCAUCCUGGUCCUCCUCUAUGAGUGGUGGAGCUCACGGAAAAGCAGUAACUCGCCCACAGGACCCAGGAAGAUAAUGGAAUGGAUGAGAAUACAACGAGACAACAGGUUUAAACAGCUACAGAAGAAUACUGUAUACUAUAAGAAAUAAGAAAAAGUGUUACAUUUUUUUGAGUUUGCUGGAAUCAAUUUCUUAUUCAUUAAUCAAUAGCUAAUCAAUGGUAAACAUGUUAGAAUAGUUGUAAGUAGUUCCAUAAUAUUACUCAAAAAAGAAACAUCUUAUUGCAAACUGUUGCAGCAACACCUUUUCUACAGAAACAAGAACAUCCUCUCUACCAAAUAAGAGGCAUCUACCAAUGCCACAAAAUGAGUCACCCUUUCUGAAUGUAGGAACUGAGACAUCUUAGUAAAAUGUUUCUUUUUUAAGCAACAAUUAUAUUCAUGGAACAAUAAAAAAAAAAUCUGCAUUUUGACAGAAAUGAUCCAUAUGUUUGUAUUUGUCCAUGUUUCGUUCACCAUCAUACUACCAGUACCUAUGAGGUUGCGAAAAUAGCACAGUAAUAUCUGAGCAGUGUGUUGUUUGGUUCGGUUGGUGAGACAGUUUGAGGCCUUCUCUGUUGCCUAACAGGAUGUGUGUGUCUGUGGUUUAACAGAAAUAAACAUCUUCCUGUUUGACAAGA